rnacentral:lncRNA from 1 species
GGAAGCCAGUGGAGACGCGUCCUCGUCGGAGAGGAAAUGCUCUCGCCUCGUGCUGGCUGCGGGUCCUUGGCCCGCGGGGCGACACGAGGUGGCCCUGGCCGCGGUGAUGGCGAAACUCUGCCGGGGUGGGGAGGCCGGAAGCGCUGAGACCCCAGCUCGGGCCCGCGGGACCCCAGGGCCGGACGCCCCUCCGUUAGAAUCUGUUCCAGGAGCCACUGGGGCGUGGACGGGAGGAGAGCGAGGGAGGUGGCCCGCGCGCAGACGCCGACCUCGGCGGGAGGGGGUUGGGGUGGGAGAGGACACUGUGGCCCUGGCGUCCCUCUGCACGGGUAAACCUCCCAUGCACUUUGUUUUACGCUUUCCCCCAGGAAAUGAGAUCUUGAUUGGGUGGAGGCACGCGUCGAUUCCUUCCCGACCUCUGAUGAGUGUUUUCAAAGUGGCCUCAAUUCGGGUGACCCAGGUCACUUGACCAGAAGAUCUGUGUGCUGGGUGAAGGCUGACUUCCUUUCUGCUGGUUGUGUGGUUGGUAUGUCAUUGCUGUGGCUUAGGCACUUCCAGGUCUGCUGGUUUAAUUCUUACCCAUGUGCUCUUUGAGUGCUGGCCUGCUGAAGUCUGUUCUGUGUGGAUGUAAAUAAAUGUGAAGUGACCCCGAGGAGUCUCUUGUGU